CCCUACGGGGCGCAGCAGGCGCGAAAACUUUACAAUGCGAGAAAUCGUGAUAAGGGAACCCCGAGUGCCCGUAAAUCCGGGCUGUCCGCCAGUGUAAAUAACUGGUGAAGAAAGGGCCGGGCAAGACCGGUGCCAGCUGCCGCGGUAAUACCGGCGGCUCGAGUGGUGGCCGCUAUUACUGGGCUUAAAGCGUUCGUAGCUGGGCUGUUAAGUCCCCUGGGAAAUCCACCGGCUCAACCGAUGGGCGUUCAGGGGAUACUGGCAGCCUAGGGACCGGGAGAGGUGAGGGGUACUCCAGGGGUAGGAGUGAAAUCCUGUAAUCCA
rnacentral:rRNA from 1 species